rnacentral:rRNA from 1 species
GACGAAGGAUGCAAGCGUUAUCCGGAUUCAUUGGGUUUAAAGGGAGCGUAGGCGGCCCUAUAAGUCAGUGGUGAAAUCUCCUCGCUUAACGAGGAAAUUGCCAUUGAUACUGUAGGGCUUGAGUACAGUUGCCGUUGGCGGAAUAUGACAUGUAGUGGUGAAAUACAUAGAGAUGUCAUAGAACACCGAUUGCGAAGGCAGCUAACGAAGCUGUAACUGACGCUGAGGCUCGAAAGUGCGGGGAUCAAAC